CUGGACUCACCUGUGCAGAUUUGACAGUGUCCUCUACUCCUGCCACAACAACAUCAGCUUCUCCUCCAGUUUCUCCUCCAGUGCGCUCAACAUCAGUCUCUCCUCCACAAACUCCUCCAGCAGCAUCUCUCUCCGUCCCCCCAGUGCUUGUGAUUGUACUGGGAGUUGUGCUCUUACUGCUCUUAGUGCCACUGCUUAUACUGAUUCAGCAGAACAGAGUGAUGAGGAGAGCUCUCUCUAAGAGGAGACACAGGACGACGACUGAGGCCGUUUAUGAGGAGAUUCAGCACAGACACAAUCACUUCACUCA